rnacentral:rRNA from 1 species
GACAGAGGUGCCAAGCGUUAGGCGGAAUCACUGGGCUUAAAGCGUGUGUAGGCGGAUCGUUAAGUACCUUGUGAAAUCCCGCGGCUCAACCGUGGAACGGCUGGGUAUACUGGCGGUCUUGAGCCACCUAGGGGCGAGCGGAACAAACGGUGGAGCGGUGAAAUGCGUAGAUAUCGUUUGGAACGCCAACGGUGAAAACAGCUCGCUGGGGGUGUGCUGACGCUGAGACACGAAAGCCAGGGGAGCGAACGGG